GACGCAGGAAGGUAGCCAAGCCACGCGAUGGUUGUCGUGGUCUAAGCGUGUAGGGUAUCCGGUUGUUAAAUGCGCCGGUGUUGGUCUGAGACGUGAUGGGACCCCUUUUUUGGGGGAUUUGGUGAUCCUAUGCUGCCGAGAAAAGCAUCGACGUGAGGUUUUAGCCGCCCGUACCCCAAACCGACACAGGUGGUCAGGUAGAGAAUACUAAGGCGAUCGAGAGAAUCAUGGUUAAGGAACUCGGCAAAAUGUCCCCGUAACUUCGGGAGAAGGGGAGCCUUGAGCGUGAUCCACCUAUGCGGUGGGGAGCGUGUAUGGGUCGCAGAGAAUUGGGGGAAGCGACUGUUUAUCAAAAACACAGGGCUCUGCUAAAUCGAAAGAUGAUGUAUAGGGCCUGACACCUGCCCGGUGCUGGAAGGUUAAGUGGAGGGUUUAGAAGUUUACUUCGAAGAUCUCAAAUGAAGCCCCAGUAAACGGCGGCCGUAACAAUAACGGUCCUAAGGUAG
rnacentral:rRNA from 1 species